rnacentral:lncRNA from 12 species
CUGUGGUAAAACCUUUAUUAAUUCUCUUUUCUUUUUAAAAAAUUUUAAAAACAGAUUUAUUAGAGAGAGAGAGAGAAAGUGAGAGAGGGAGAGAGGACCCUGAGAUUAUAACCUGAGCCCAAACCAAGAAGCCAAGAGUUAGCCACUUAACCUGCUAAGCCACCAGCUGCCCCUAAUUCUUUUCUUUAGAAUUAAUCCAAAUUCCUAAUCUUGCUCCACGAUAACAUGAUGACUUCCUAUUCUGAUAUCUGUUUUUCUAGAUAUGUCCUGUAUUCAUGGCCAACUUUGUUUGGUGGGAUUGGGAACAACCGGACAGUGUGCCUUUUCUUUCUCCUGAAGCAAGAUAUUUUUAAGUGUGUUUGACUCCUGUUGAAGAAAAUUUUUGAUUAAUUAUUAUAGUGAGUAAGCCAUAAAGAGAACUGUCUUAGGCAUUUUUGAAUAUUGAUAACUGGUAGAUUUCCUGGCAUAACUUUAGGUGAUAAAUAAUGUUUUUGACCAAGUUAAUAUUUAUGAACUUCCUUUGCUUUUCUGACUUUGUUGUAAAUUAUAUCUAAUCCCAAAUUCUCUAGAUUGAGAGAACAUGUAAGGAUUUCAGCUCACAGGACAAGGAUGCUUGUUUUUAUUAGAGGCAGCCAACCUGGGUAGGGACAACUUGCUAGAGCUUUCAGAUUUUUAUGUAAAAUUUUCAUGUCAAAAAGUUUAUGUAGUUAAGACUGUGCUCAUUUGAUUCUCAUUCUGGUUAGUAGUACAAAUGGAAUAUACUCAUAUUGAUAAUUGAUAAUUAUUCUUGCUGAUUCCUGCUGUAGUUUCUUGUUUCUGCUUCUUGCUUCGUCUAUAUCCCCAGUCCAACUUUUACUUUUCUAUGCAAAUAAUCUUCCUAAAACACAAUUACUGUAUUAUCCCCUUACUUAAAACUUAUAAUGCCUCCCGUUUUAUGCAACAGAAUUUCCCAAACCAUGUUACAUAGAUCAUGUAACAUGCUUGAUAAUAAUAAUUCAUGCUUAGACACGUUUACUGGAGCUCCAUGAAAAUAUAGCUCCACGGACACUUCAUAUACAUAUUCUCAUAUUCACCCCAACAUUUCAGCAAUACAUUUUACCCUGAAAUUCUUUUUAUCUUCUCCCCUGCAAAAAAGCCAUGAAUUCCUAUGAAACUGGCUUAGGAAGUAUGAGCUGUUAUGUGAAAAUUUUAAAAAAGAUUUUAUCUAUUUGAGAGAGAGAACAUGCAAGCAUUAGUGAGGAGGGGGUGAGGGAAGGGGAGAAAGAAUCUGAGGGAGACUCCAUACUCAGAAUAGAGUCCAAAGCAGGGCUCGAUCCCAUGACUACAAGAUGAUGACCUGAGCAGAAACUGAGAGUUGGAAGCU